ACACUCCUACGGGAGGCAGCAGUGGGGAAUAUUGCACAAUGGGCGCAAGCCUGAUGCAGCCAUGCCGCGUGUAUGAAGAAGGCCUUCGGGUUGUAAAGUACUUUCAGCGGGGAGGAAGGCGAUAAGGUUAAUAACCUUGUCGAUUGACGUUACCCGCAGAAGAAGCACCGGCUAACUCCGUGCCAGCAGCCGCGGUAAUACGGAGGGUGCAAGCGUUAAUCGGAAUUACUGGGCGUAAAGCGCACGCAGGCGGUCUGUCAAGUCGGAUGUGAAAUCCCCAGGCUCAACCUGGGAACUGCAUUCGAAACUGGCAGGCUAGAGUCUUGUAGAGGGGGGUAGAAUUCCAGGUGUAGCGGUGAAAUGCGUAGAGAUCUGGAGGAAUACCGGUGGCGAAGGCGGCCCCCUGGACAAAGACUGACGCUCAGGUGCGAAAGCGUGGGGAGCAAACAGGAUUAGAAACCCCAGUAGUCCCAUGA
rnacentral:rRNA from 1 species